GAGAGGUUUUGUUAAAACUCAUCAUUCACUUCCUGACUCCACCAAACAGCUGCUGAGAUGACAACGACACAGGUCAAGAAAUGUCAUCAUCUCAGAGUUCCUCACCUGCUUCCAUCAUGUCCGUCACAAAGAUCCCAGUAGAAGCUGAAUGCAUGAAGGUCCAUUUGUAAAGUAAAAUGAAAACUGAAGGCUCUGCCUCCCAUUCUACUUGUGAAGAUGAUGUCAGAUUUUUUCUAAACCUUUAAAUGUUACAGUGUUUCAAUUUAGUUCAGUUUUAUUUAAACAGUGCACCUCAAGGUGUUUUGAACAUCACUACUGGGCAGUAAUGCAACCUUGGUCUGCUCACCAUCAUGACCCGACACACAGUCCUGGAGAGGAAUUGCAACUCCCGAUAAUAUCGUCCGUGGCUCUUCCCACUGCAGGAAGCAACAGCUUGAUACCAGUUAAAGAUGUAUGGUAUGAUUUAUUAAGGUAUGAUGGAGUGCCUUCUUUCACAUUCAGACAUGGAUUGAUCUUGAGCUAGGCGGAUGCCGGCCCCCAGUCUGCAUAUUGCCUGGUUCAUAGAGUUCAGAGCUAUAAUACAGAGUUCCAAUGUGGAGAGUCUUCAGUCUGUAUCAACCUCAGCACCACCAAAACUGGUCUAUUUCAGACACACAGAUGUUUAAACCUUUGGUCUGUUAAGCUUGGCCUUCAGCACGAACCAAAGGCAGUGAUAAGCACCUGCUUUACACGUGUAGCUGUACAUGGGUCUGCAGCAGAGUCCCUCUGUGCUGGUCCUGGGCUUUCUGUUCAAACUUAAACAUUUAGAUCCUGAACGACCUUGUGUGUCCUUGCUUGAACGGCCAUUUGUAUCAGUUAGUGGGACUGAAGGCAAAGGAUUAUAAUGAAAUUUAUUUUGAAUUAUUGAUAAUUACGUGAUUCUCAAACCAGAAACCCUGGAUGACCAGCCAGAUCCGCACACUUCUCAAAGCCCGGGAUGCUGCCUUCAGGUCGGGCGGCUGAGUUCUGUACAGGUCUGCUCAACCCGAUCUGAAAGAAGCUAAGACGGACCAUAAAAGUAGCAUAGAGUCCCACCUGUCCAGCAACAACACACGGGGGGUGUGGUUGGGCAUGCAAGACAUCCUAAACCACAGAGGCUGCACUGUGAAAACAGGAAACUUAAGUGCGCCACUGCUGAAGGAGAUAAACACUGGAAGCAGAAGUACUGAGCAUCUCCAUCAUAGUCAGCAUUGGCAGUGAAAACAGAGAAGCAGGAAAGGAGGAGGGCUGAAACUGCACGUCAGAGGUGAUUUCACAAUUGUACUGAUGCUGUUGCGUGUAUAAAGAACGAUCAGCAGCUUUCAGCCAGCCAAACGCCGUCUAUACACACGAGGAAGAGAUGGAGACUAUGAAGACUCUGCUGAAGGUUUAUCUGCUGCUGCUGAUCGGACCUCCCUUCACUCUGGAACAAUCAGUGGGCCAGUACAUCACCGAGCUCCAGGUGUCUCUGGAUGAAGCUGAAGAGACGUAGCUUAGCAGUCAAGGUUUCAUCAAAAUCGAUGUUGAUCUGAACAAAGGAGCUGAAGGAAAAUACAUCUACCUUUGGUACAAAAAAGGCAGCAGCUCACCAAUCACCAGGAUUCAGCUUACAUUCAAUGAUGGCAUGAGCAGGGGUCUGAUCACUGCAGGUUACCAGAAGAUUAACAAGAACCUCAAUGCCGGAACAAGUGGAGACUACAUCUACCUGUGGUACUACAGAGGUAACUCAGAGUACGAUGUUCCCAUUGUGAACCUUCAUGUCUCUAUAGAAGCAAGAGAGGAAGCCCAGAUGUUUGUAUUUGGAUGGGAGA